GAGACUUGGGGCUGUGCAGCCUGGAGAAGAGAAGGCUAGAGAGGGGUCUUGUCAAUGCUUAUAAAUAUUUAAUGGACGUCAGUCACGUGAAUGGGGCCCAGUGGCAAAAGAAGGAGCAACUUACAGAUAAAAGCAAUUGAGCAUUAUGUAUACAGUGUGUUCUUUGGGGAUUAAAGGUGUUGCUGAUUUCCAUUGUAUUGACCCUGAGAAGUUGUAGACUGGGCUGUCUGCCAUUCUGUGGUGACAGUUCUAGCUAAAUAGCAGUUUCUAUCAAUGUACUUCUCCUGAGUUUGUUUCAUACAGCAGUACCUAGACUUUAAAGCAAGAGUGACCAUAUUAUACUUAGGCAGGUUCUAUCUACUUCAGUAUUCUUUCUCCAGUCAAGUAAGUGAAUACCUUAUAAAAGCCUAAGAAAAGGUCAAGUGUAAAUGCUUAUUUAUUCACUUCUCACAGCCUCUGACCAUUUUCACUUCUCAAGCUGAUUAUGGGUUUUGUAUAUUUAGCAAACUUUGGACAGAUCACUUUGCAAGAUUGUCUAGUCUUCACAACAUCUUUUGGCAAGGAGUUCAGGAAAUCAGCUGGCCCCUGAGUGAGGAGACACCUCUUUGUGUUGAACUGCCGUUAUCUUCAGGGGGUGUUACCUCAGCCUUAUAUUGGAAGAAAAUUUAACAGUCCAAGGUGCUCGGGAUUUUACAGUCCUCUGUUAUAUCCUUUCAGUUGUCUCUUUUUUCAGUCUGAAAAAUCCUGUCAAAUUGUACCAUAUCUGUAAAUAAUACAAUCGGUAAAAAUAAAAUAAAAACAAAAAUCCUGAUAGUUGCUUUGAGUCUUGAAUUUCUACUGGGGACUGAAUUGAUGCUUUAGGAACUUCUUAUCGUAACCUCAGUGUUUUACUUCUGAGUGUUAAUGGUCAGCUCUGAAAACACGCAGGAGCAGGUAUGUGCAAAGUUAGAAUUGCUUUUCUGCCUGUACAUCAUGUUACAUUUACUUACAUUGAAUCCUACUUGCUAUUUUAUGACCAAUUCCUGUUCUGUCUGUUGCCCCUCAUGCUCACCACACUGAAUAUCACUAAACUAUCAUAAUCUUGUCCACCCCAUUUUCUAGUAUGCUGAGCCUGACAGCUCUAUCACAACAAGUCUCUGAGGAGCUGUGCUGGUGAACUUCGUCUACUGAGGUCACCUUGACCAGAAAGAAAGGACUUUAAACAGCUCUUCUACCAUGCAAGUACCUUUCCUUAAAAGCCUGGUUGAGGAGUGUGGUUGGAAGCUUGCUGGCAACUCAACUAUGUUUAUCAACCAAACCAUCCUCAUCCACGGACCUUCUGAGCCCUUCAAAGACAUUUGAUAGGUCAUCAGAAUUAUUGCUCAGUGAGAAAUGCAGUGACAGUUUCCAGAAGAGUGGCAGAUUGGCAGAUGUUUCAUAAAACACAAGAAUGCACUUAUUAACAUAGGCCUGUUAGAUCUGCACAUGCACAGUUUGUGUAAGAACUCACAGUGGUGAGGUACAAGGGCUACACUGUUUGUAAACGGAAUAAUUCAAAUUGAUGCAUUGUACCUCUUUCAGUGGUUGUUUUGCUUUGUGUAUGUGUAUGCUUUUCUCUGUAAUACCCAGUAAGUAGUGAGUUUGACAUAAUUAAAAGCAGCAUAUCUUGCAUUUACAGGAAGAAGGAAGAGUUGAGAGUGUGUACAUAGGUAUUCGCUGCGGAGCUGCUGGUUUGUGGUAACUUCUUUGUAUGUCAGUCCUUUUUCUGCACUGCAGUGGUUAACUCUUCCUUUUAAAAAAAGAAGAAACGUUUGAAUUCAUAUGCUUUCUAGAUGUGUCCAGGGGCCAACUCUGAGCCCUGACUAAUGCCACAUUGUGCUGUUGCGUGCAAGAUUAUCUUUCCAGGUAAGCAUGAUAAGUGUUCAAAUGAAUCUAUCAAAAAUCAGUGGAAAGGAUGUCAUAAUACAAAGUCUGUUACUGUAAAAAAUCUAAAAGUCUUCGAAAGCGAGUUUGGAAAGAAAGUGAUAGCUUUGUUUGUAACCUAGCUGCAGGGCCUGGCAGCAGCAGCUCAAGAAGAGGUGUGGGGAUGAGCUGAAUAGAUUCCCUGCUGGCCAGCAGAGCUGGGAGGCUGCAUCCUACCAAUAGGAGACUGACUUCUCUUUUGAAUCCCUUUGGGUAAAGGAAGGGAGAUGUUUUUUGACUUUUUUUUCUUUUUUUUCCCCCCAAUGGAACAUUGGGAAGUAAAAGCCAUUCUCGAGAGGAAAGAACAGCCUACUGGAAAUAAAAGUUCUUUGAUGUCAAAUGGAGUACAGUGUCAUAGGAGAUUUGUGAUUUCUUUUGCUUUUUCUUAAUCUCAGAUUUGUCACAGUAAAUACAGCUAAGAGAAAAAAGUAUGUAAACCAGGAGGUGGAAGAAGGAAGAGAUGCUGAAGGUACAAAGUUUGUUAUUGAUUACUCAGUUCCCAAUUUUCUGAUUUGGAUUUGUAAUUAAACUAUUUUCAGUUGAGUUUUGGUUUGUAGCAUUUGCUGCAGUGCAACUGUGUGAUGCAGUGCUGAAUCUAAGUAGGAUGUCAGAAGUGCUCACUUCAUUUUCUCUGAAUGCCACAGUCUCUCUCAGGACUCCCAUCACUAUUGGCAGGCACAUUUCUCAAAAUCUACUUUUUUACAGCAUCACUUAAAUCACAGAAUCACAGAAUCGCAGGGAUGAAAGGGACCUCAAGAGAGCAUUGAGUCCAACCCCCUGCUAAAGCAGGUACCCUAGAAUAGGGUGCACAGGUGGGCAUCCGGAUCGGUCUUGAUUAUCUCCAUAGAAGGAAACUGCAACCUCUGGGCAACCUGUUCCAGUGCUCCAUCACCUUUACCAUAAAGAAGUUCUUAAUGCAUGUUAGUACAAAACUUACUCUGUUGAAGUUUUAGGCCAUUACUCUUUGUCCCAUCGCUACACUCUCUCACCGUAAAGCGCAAGCAAUCUUUCAUGCCUUAAUGAUAAAAAGAAGACUGACUUUUGAGACUGGAAGCUGCUUUUGUUGCUGUUUUCUUGUUUGUUCUUAGACAAAAAGUGAAACAACAAAGUCUCUUACUGAGUUUGGCUGAUGCCUGUGAAAGAUGUUAUUUGAUUAUAUAAAAUCUUAGACAUAAACCAGCUGAGAAAGGGAAUGCAUUUUGUAUAGUCUAGAGUUAAUGUUGUUUCCAUGCAGGCUCUCAAAAGCAUCUCUCUUCAGUGCACUGUUUUCUCUCCUGGAUAUUGCUUUUUUAAACGUACAAUCUGUGCAGCAUCUAAUGUCUUUGCUGCUUAUCAUUCCCCACCAUCCUGGCAUACAUGGCCUAUUUCAUUGCACUGACUGUAGUGCUCACGUAGAUGUUACUCUGUUCUGGUUGAACAUGAAUCUUCUGUUUGCAGCGUUGUGUAAUUUUUCAGCCAGAACCACAGUUGUAUAAACACCAGUGCAGACAGAAGGAAGCAAGUAUGUUUGGCUGGGGAUGGAUGAGCUCCUUUCAGCAUUGCUUCUGUUUUAAAUCUUGAUUCUGAAGACACAUCCUAUUCAAUAAUGUGAUACAACACGGGUGAGUUAAUGAGAGUAUCACAUUCCAUUGCAUUUAGCUCAAUAGAAAAUCACUCUCAAGCAGAUAGAAGCAAGAUAAAGGGUACAAGAAGAAAGAAUAAAGACAGUGUUAAUAAAUUUGUGUGAAUUACGAAUAAUUAUCUAAUAAUGUAAUCAUUAUUUACUGUAUUUCCGGAUUAGAGACCUACUCCCAUUUACUGCAUCAAACUAAAUAACUCUUUUGUUUAUUAGCACUGUUUGCCCAUGCCAUGUUUAUGAGAGGAUACAUCUCCUCCCAUUCAGGUCCUUUGCAAAAUAGCCCCUUUGGCACAGUGUAGAUCAACUAGCUUUAUGCAUAUAUUCUCUUAAGAAAAACUAAAGGCGUAAACGAAAUAUCUGUUUUGACAAGAUGCCUACUUUGAUCAUAAAUGUUAAGGAGAUAGUAGUAUGAUUUUAUACUCACUUCCUGAAUAAUACAAUCUGUGGUAUCUUUCUCCAGUAAUUUCAUCAUAAAGUCAGUAAUUUCCUUUUGAACUGAAGUCUGUAUUUUAGGAAAAUACCUCUUCUUGAUAGGACAGGGCCAUGUUUAGCCAUGGAAUUUGUGCUAUCUUUUUGAACUAUUAUACAUCAAGGAAGAAUGGAGUUUCUGUAUUAGCAUUUGCAGCAUUUGAGUGUCGAUGUCUUGUGCUCACAAUGCUUGCUUCUGGCCUGAACACUUGGGCUUUCCUUUUUAGGAGAAUAAACCCACAUAUGAAUUCAUACAUUUUCAGUGCCUCUCUGCAUCUCUGAAUGUUGUAGGAACACAGAAAGUGAUUUUCUGUAACCAUGCUCAACCUUGCAUCUCUGGCUAGGCUGCUGUUUCAGAGUUCUACAUCUGCUUCCUUUCUGGGUUGCAGUUAGAGCUGUAUGCUUUCUGUCUGCUGGGCUGCUGCUUUUUUUUUCCCGCAAAGCUCAAGCAGCUGUGUCCUGGCUUCUGUUACCGCUGCAAAUCUUUGUCCUACAUUGGAUACUUGGGCAGCGACUUUGGAUAUGUCCUGCCAUCUUCCUCCAUAAAGUAACUUACUUGGUUUUCCAUUUAGCCUGAGUGAAGGGUAGCUGUCAAGCUUGCUGCCCUGUGUCUCGUCAGCCUGUGACUGAUAAAGGCAUGUUUAAUGUCUUGGGUUUCCCACAGUCUGACAGCCACUGGGAUUUACAGAAACGGCGUUGGAAGGAGAUGUGUUUUUUUAUAUGGUUGCACGACUUGUUGUGAAUACUCUCCAUUCUUAAAUGUUUCCUGAGCUGUGCAAUCGAUCUGUUAAGUAGUCUUUACUAUCACAACACAGAGAACCUGGUAUGAUUAUGGUGCCUAUCAGAUGGUCCUUGCUUUUGUUUCUCCACCUUUCCCAUCCAUGUUUACUGCCAUCUUUUAACUGUUUACUGCUGCACAAAGGGGUGCAGAAUGGGCUCUAAAAUGUAAUGAUCAAGCAAGAAAAUAAAAGAAAGCAUACCCUUCAGUG